UCUGACAUUCUUACUGCUCCUAGUGACUGCAGAAUAGACAUUUCUGCAAAAGCUGAUCAGAAGAACCUUACCGCUGAUAAUGGUGUUGUAGCUGAUCAUAAGAGCCAUACCGCCUCUGAUAAUGGUGUUGUUGCUGAUCAGAAGAACCUUACCGUCUCUGAUAAUGGUGUUGUAGCUGAUCAGAAGAACCUUACCACCUCUAAGAAUGGUGUUGUUGCUGAUCAGAAGAACCUUACCGCCUCUGAUAAUGUUGUAGCUGAUCAUAAGAACCUUACCGUCUCUGAUAAUGGUGUUGUAGCUGAUCAGAAGAACCUUACCGUCUCUGAUAAUGGUGUUUUAGCUGAUCAGAAGAACCUUACCGUGUCUGAUAAUGGUGUUGUAGCUGAUCAGAAGAAGCUCACUGACUGAUAAAUGGUGUUAGCUGAUACAACUCAAACUCUUGUUGGAACCAUUUUUCAACCUGGAUUCCAACAAGCCACAUUUUCCGCCAUGCUGUAGAUAAUU
rnacentral:lncRNA from 1 species